AACGAACGCUGGCGGCAGGCUUAACACAUGCAAGUCGAACGGGUGUAGCAAUACAUCAGUGGCAGACGGGUGAGUAACACGUGGGAACCUUCCUAGGGGUACGGAACAACUCAGGGAAACUUGAGCGAAUACCUUAUACGUCCGUGAGGAGAAAGAUUGAUCGCACUUAGACGGGCCCGCGUCGGAUUAGCUAGUUGGUGGGGUAACGGCCUACCAAGGCGACGAUCCGUAGCUGAUCUUAGAGGAUGAUCAACCACACUGGGACGUGAGACACGGCCCAGACUCCUACGGGAGGCAGCAGUGGGGAAUCUUGGACAAUGGGCGCAAGCCUGAUCCAGCCAUGCCGCGUGAGUGAGGAAGGUCUUCGGAUUGUAAAGCUCUUUUGCCAGGGACGAUAAUGACGGUACCUGGAGAAUAAGCCCCGGCAAACUUCGUGCCAGCCGCCGCAGUAA
rnacentral:rRNA from 1 species